GCGUGACAAAAAAAUCAUUAUUUUUACGAGUCUACAAGACAAUUUUGCAACUUUGAGAUGUUUUUCUCGUGGCCUUUCUCAGUUUCUCAGAUGGUUUGCUGGAUAUACUCGUAUAUCGCACAAGAGAAAUGUUAUUCUACAAAAUGUUUUGACAAAUGAUGGUAACAAUAAAUAUUUUGACAAUAAUACAUGAUAUCUUUAUAAGGUAGCGUUCGCUAAUGUUCUACAGCAAUUUGAAAAAGUUGUUCUCCAAUAUAGAGAACAGCAAGCAUCCGAAACGAUAUGAAGAUAAUUACUAUCUUCGCCCUUUUUUCAGCCCUUUUAGGCUGCGUUUCUUGUCUUCCCGGCGGGCUCGGUGGUUUAUUGGGCGCCAAUAUUCUCACCUCUGGUAACGCUAAUGGCGAUUUGAUAGACGCCAAUGUCCUCAAUAGUGGCGGCGGCGGCGGCAGCGGCGGCGGCGGUGGCGGUGGCCUAUUCGGUGGUU